GCGAGUAUUCAGCUGAAACUAGUAUCCAGUACAGAUAAUGUACUUUUUAUCAAACAAGUAAACUGUGUCAAUAUACUUGCUCUGUUAAUAGUUCUCCUAACUCUUGUGAUCAAAAACAUCACUCUGAAAAUCAAUAUUGUAAAUAGUUUUCUGAAUAUUGUAACUUCUGAUCAACCCAUAUCAAUUUAUGAAUACGGCUACAGAUACAGAUAAUUUGGUUUAACAGAUACAGCCCUAAUAAUAAAAUAAAAUAAUUAUACUUACAUUAUACAAUAAAUGAAUCAUGAUCAUGAAUAUUAGAAUUUUAUCUGAUGUGUUAAUUCAGUACAUUCUCACUUCAUCAUCAAAUCAUCACCAAAUACUGCAGCUUGGUCAGUGGCCCUCUGCUUUCAAAUAUUACGUUGUAGGUAUCCUAUGGGCUGAUUUUUGUGUCAGUAGAAACUACAUUUGAAUCAUUUAGAACUGAAUCUGAAUUGCUCAACUUGAAUAAUUGCAUUAAAAAAACUGAAUCUGAAUAGCAUAAUUUGAAUUUGAAUUUAUUAGUUUGAAACUGAAUUCUAAUAAACUUGAAACUGAAUAUAAUAUUAUGAAUCUGAAUUCACUUGCAACUGAAACUGUAUUUGAGCCUCACUAAAAAUUCAACUUUUUAUGUACUUUCAAAUUCAGUUCUCUAAAUUCAAAUUCAGUUCUCUAAAUUCAAAUUCAGUUCUCUCAACUCAAUUUCAAACCACAAGAUUCAACUUUUAAGGUCACAGACGGGUCAAGGUGUUCAGUAAGAGCAAUCGAGUGCAGAUGCACAGAGCUCCUUUUUGGCUAAGCAGCACGUUUGUUUUGAACAUUUCCUGGACCUGUAGACAUUGGCUAGCGAAAAACAUGCUUAAAGGAGACAUAUUAUGCCCCUUUUCAGGUUCAUAAUUGUAUUUUUUUUCUUAAAUUUUAUUUUGGUUUCGUGUGUGAACCACUUUGUGUUGGACUGUUUUCACAACCUCGGUCAGUACAACAGUGGACUGACUGAAAGACUGUUCCUGAAAGAGGGAUUCAUACCAACUGUCUGUGGAGAGACGGCAGAGGAAGUAACUGUGACCUGAUGAAGCUCAGGUGUUCCUGGACCCAUCAGAGGACAGAGACAGCUGCAGCAUCAGGACAGUCUGGGUAUCCAAAGGAAGACUGAUGAAGAUGAACACUGACUGCAGAGCUCCAUUACUAGAUCACACUUCAGUAUACUAGAAACCUAAGAUACCUUGAUGGAGGACAUGAUCUGCACAGUUUACAUAAAAGUUCUAGCUUUGUUACUUACAACAUGUGUAACUGGAAUAUGACUGAAACAUAAAUAAAGUGUUUUACUUUUAAGAA